CAUUCCUUAGCAUGAGUCAAUGCCUGCACUGGAGAGAAAGCACUGAAGAGAAAGCACACUGCUCUGGACAUGGGCUCUAAAAUGGAUUGCUUACCUCUCUUCAGUGGCUGUGAAAUCUAAAUAAUGAGCUCAGACAGCACGACUAACUUCUAUGUCUCACCUCCUAUAUAUGAAACUAUGAGAGAUGACCCCCCCAUUUUUCAGGGUUUCUGCACAUGGAUCCAGAUGCACACAUGCUGGAGAAAGCAGCAUCAUGUCAUCCCAAACCAGAGGAAGGCAGGGGUGAAUCACAAUCC
rnacentral:lncRNA from 1 species